AACAACCCAAUAUAUAUGCACAAAUUUAUGAAUUGUUAAACAUACAAUAAUACGAGAUACCCCGAUUAUUAACUAGAUGCAAUAUCCUAAGUGUUUAGUAAAUAGAUAAUAUUAUGGCAAGCAAACAAACACAUCUAUUUACUACUUUACUAUACUUUACGUUUUGGGUAUAUCCAAGAACAGGAAGUACAAAGCGAGGAUUUAAUGCGGGGAUUCUUCUUUGAUUUUUCUUCAAACGUCAUCUCUGAAAGAUAACUCCCGGGUAGGGUACCUCACAAAAGAAACAACGAAAUAUUAGCGAAUAACAUAACUAUAAUAUAUAAAGAAUGAAAGUAUUUUUUUGAAAUUGUUUUGGAAAUUGUUUGAAAUAUUAUAGAAAAUGUUUCUAUGUUUCUGAAAGAUUAUCUUAAAAAUGUUUUUGGAAAUAGUUUGAAAAAAUAUUUAUUGGGAAAUUGUUUUCCUUUUUUUUUUGGAAAAUAGCUUUGGAAAAUAGUUUAAAAUAAUAUAAAAGCCUCAAAUGUGUAUAUUUAAUAUCCGUCUAGACAUGAGAACGCGAACCCUCGGUUGCGACUCCGGUGGCCAACCGUGUCGCUUUCUCUUCUUUUUCUUUUUCGAUGUUUAUUAUCAUCACCUCGUUAAUAUAGAGCCCAGUCCAGAGGGUCAUUCGGGGUAUCGUGGCCUAAAAAAUUAUUCUCAUAGGCCAUAGCGCAACAUUAUGAAAAUCGACAGCAACCAAGUGUAAUAUUUGUUCGAAAUUAUUUCACAUAGCAGAGGCAACUAGUUGUGCAAUGUCGAAAUCCAGCCCUUUACUCAAAGUAGGCAACCAAGUUAUCGAGCAGACUUGCCGUUUAACCAAGAAAAUAACGGCGACAGACAAAGCACAACAGUCAAAGAACCAUAGCAAAAUAUCACGACCAUAAUAUAGUACGACAAAAAAAGUCAUGGUCACAUUCAUAUAUCGUCCAACCAAUUUUGACAUAACGGAGCCUGUGACAGGCGAAGAGGACAGAUAAAAACAUAACAAAAUAAGAAUAAAGAUCGCCGAAAAUGGCAAAAACAGUGGAGAAGCGAGGAAUCAUUGGAACUCAACUUUUCUGGCCCAAAACUUUCCAGAUCUAGGCUUGCCAUAACAUCAGCACUCAAUGGACCAACGAUGCUCUACGAUGGCAAGGGUCACCAGAGCAUCAUUGAAAUAACACACGAGGGGUUGACGAAAAAUUAGCAAUCCGGCCAAAGUUAGCAGCACCCAAAACUGGCCAGAUCUGGCCGCAUCUGUGAGCAAAAAUGUGUAACGAAAAUAAAAAAAGAGGCCAGAGAACGGCAGUAACAACACAUUAAAGGACCAGGUCACCGGAAAAGUUCUUUUCGGCCAAAACCAAACCGGUAACUACACCAUUGAAGUCGGUGACUCUACUACCACAACGAACACCGGAGCAGUGUCUCCACAGGAACAAAGUGAAGAAGGUCGCAUCAAAGUUAGAUAUUCCGACAGAUCUGAUAGCAACGGUGAGAGAAAGGGAGAGAGGAGGAGGGGGAGAGAUAGAGGAUCACCUAGCCAGUGAUUAAUUCUAGCCGGCGGACUGGCAGCAGCGUUGGGGAAGAAGGAGACGAGCGGCUGGUGCUCUCAAGAGUUGAGAGAGAUGAGAGAUCCCUUAUGGGUUGAGGCCAGAUUUGGUGUACAAAAUGAGAGACAACCAAAAAAUGUAUUAGGGUUGGCCUUAUUAAAAAAUUUGAUGUCUCUUUCUUUUUGUAGUGUAAAAAUAUAUGUGGGGUCUGUGUAGAGUGUAUGGGGUAGAAACUUAGGGGUUAAAGUUUCAGGGUAGAACAAAAUAAGUGGGUCUUUACCCAUUGUAUAAAAAUCAUGUUGGGUCAAAUCAAGGGUCAUGUCUCAUCAAAUGUCUUGUCACGUCAAUGUCAUGUCGCGUCAAUGUCAUGUCGCGUCGGAUGUUGAUGGGAUAUUUAAAUUUGACCGGACUUGAUCCGUAUUUUUAAAGUAAAUUCUACUGACUUUCAUGUAAUUAAAUAGUUUGCGCUAUAAAUUAUAAAAUAAUUAUUUAAUUAGAAAAUCUUGUACUAUGUAUUUAAAAUAUCAAUAACUACAACAAAGAUGUAAUUAUUAUUAUUAUUUUUUUAAAAAGACAAUAAAUUGAUAAAAAUCCUAAUAUUUGAAAAUAGGAGAGUCACCAAUAAAUUAUUUUAAAUAUUGGACAAAUGCACAAAAAUGGUGGUAUUUAACUAAUUACAAUAAAAUGAUAAAAACUCCAGUAUUUUGUAAAAAUAGGAAUAAUUAUCAAUGAAUUACAUUAAAACUAAAUAAUAUGCAAAAAGUCAUAUUUUAUCAUUUUUUUAAUUAGGAAACCUGCAGAAGUUAAUUUUAAAAUACGGAGGGUUAAAAUUAAAUGUCAACAACUGCCCUUCUUUGACCGGAGAUGAUGCAAGAGUCUUCGGACAAAGAAACUGACAUAUUACUCGAUUUUGACCCGACAUGAUAGAGCAAUGGAUGAAGAGUUUUAGAAGAUUAUGACCGAACUCUGGUAUUUGAACUGUCUAGAUAUCUCGGGUUAUACGAGAAUCAGGCCGCGUGUAGUUCUAGGAUGCAACUGAGUACUACUUAUAAAUCGUAGUCUCAUGGGGUGGAAGACUAAUGGUCGAGGACGAAAAGAUCAUGUGAUCUCGACAUUGCUUCCAAGAUUGCCCCAGUGUUGGACUGUGGUGAUACUAGGAUGUGGGUGUUGGAUAGUGGAUGAAUUGAUUGAUAUAUUUUGAUGUGGGUACGACCGGACUCUGUAUUGAGUUUUCCUACAUAUCUCAGAUGUAUCAAGAAUCAAGCCGACUGUAGUUCGAGAAGCGAUGAAUGAUUUGAUUUUGAUUUUUGAUUUGAAAAUUGCCCCAGCAUUACUGUGAUAACAUUGAGUGUUAUGUUAACUAUGAGGAUCUCGAUUGCCUACACACCCCAUGUCGAUGGGACGUAAGAAUGAUAGUUAGGACAUGGCGUCGAUUGUUGUUAGAAAGCUCGACGUCCGUCCUCAAAAUCUACCCCAUUAUUCCUGAAGACAAUUCCACGUUGUGUCGCCUCUUUAAUCAGUGGAGUUGACGAGGUGUGGAUUAUGCCUUUGUCUGAUUUGACAAAGAUAAAUACGUGAUUUUUUGAACGAAAUAGGGUCUCAGGUUGGAACUUUAAUUCGAAUGAGAUCCGGGCUAAAUACCAUUCUGAAGUGAUCAGAGCACUUUAGAUUUUGAAAGAAAUUCGGGCUGUGUACCGGUCCAAAGUGAAGCAUUUGGAUUCUUGAAGGAAAUUCGGGUUGUGUACCGGUCUGAAGUGCUAUAGAAGAACUUGAAUGAAAAAAAGAAAUCCGGGAUAUGUAUCGGUCCAAAGUGAUCAGAGCACUUGAAUGUAAAAGGAAAUUCGGGAUGUGUACCGGUCCAAAGCGAUAUCAGAGCAUUUUGAAUGUAAAACCGGCUGGUAGUUAUGAUUCUGAAAUGAUAUCGGAGCAUUUAAAUCUAAAAUACCUAUAUUGGAAGGUGGGCACCUAUAAAAAUGAACUUAAAAUAAAAUGCCCAUUGUUCAGGAGGGCGUCUGGGAAAUCUGGCUUUGAAAUGAAACGCCCAUUAUUCAGGAGGGCGCCUGAAAAAGCAAGAAAGUUAUUUUUUUCUAUGUAGGAAAAUUAAUGAAAAGGGUUCUGUUAUUAAUGACUCAGGUAGCCUACGUAUCCAAAUAGAAUCAGGCCUUCCAUUGCAAUUGAUACAAAAUGGUAGAGUUUUGGAAUGAUAUGGUUGGGUCUGACUAAGACUGCCAACGUAUCCCAAUGGAAUCAGGCUAAAAUGUAGUUCGACUGCAAAAGAUGACUGAAUCUGAUGUGGAUUGCCUACGCAUUCCUACCAAAGGAAAUCAAGCUGCGGCGUAGUUCAGAAUAUAUAGAAAUGAUUUUUGCUUUUCUCUUAUGAGAGUGGGACCGGACCCUACGUGGGUUGCCUACGUAUUCCUACCAAAGAAAAUCAAGUCGCGACGUAGUUCUAGUACAACAAAACCUAACUACACCGUCAGCAAAAACAUGACUCUCCUUUUGUUUUCUGUAUUUUUCGUUGUUUUGUAGCUUUUAGUAGAGAAUAUUUGAAGAUUUGAGAAGUAAAGAGAGACUGGGAUUUAUUGAUCGAUCAUCAUUUUGACUUGAUUUUGGUUGGUACCAACAAUUAGUUUUGUGCAUAAGAAUUUCGACCAUACUUUCCAGCAAUCUAAGAUCAGCUUAUGAGUAAUUGUUUACCCGUAAAAUGGUACAGUUGAAUUUGUAACGUGGUUUAUAGACAUGUGAAUCAAUUUGAUCCCAAAAUGAUAAAUAAAUUAAAUAAAAUAUAAGACUUAGCAUUGAAAUCGAGAUAAGAUAGCAAAUAACCUGGUUCCGGGAGCAGAGCUUUUGAUGGCAGCAAUAUGAAUAUUAAUAAGCAAGAAAUGAAAUUUUGUUGAGCUUUUGAAUAGUAUAUAGCAUAAGUUUGUCAGAAAAUUCCCGUCCCUAUAAUGGCUAUAGUUGCACCUAGAGAACAAGGUCCUAGGAUCAAGUGUCACGACCCAAAAUCUAUUAAUGGUAGUGAUGGCACAUAACACCACUGUCAGGCAAGCCAACAAUAGUUCAUUAACUAGAUUAUUCAUUUUACUAUUUUGAAUUCAAAAUUUUCCUUCAAUUAAAUAAUCAGAAAUAAAAUUUACAGAGUAAAUGAUAAUAUUUUCCCAACUACAAUACUGAACAACUCAUAAGUACCCCCAAAACCCGGUGUUACAAGUGCAUGAGCAUCAACUAGGAAGUAAAAUAAAAUACAUCAUCUGUCCGGAAUACAAAUUAGACAGGAAAAAUACAAAUAACCAUAGAGGAGACUCUGCUGGCUGCGGAUCAUAACCUGAAAUGCAGCUCGCGGCAAGUCCCGCAUCAUCCGUGCCUCUGUGCCCAAAGGACCACCGGACAUAAAAGUACAUGCACAAAAAUAUACAACAAGUGUAGUAUGAGUACGUAAAUUCACGUGUACCCAGUAAGUAUCUAGCGUAACCCCGGAGGAGUAGUGACAAGGGGUCGACAUCGACACUCACUAGUGGUCCAAUAAUAUCAGGUACAGUAAGGAGGUGAACAAAUAUGAGGUAGAGUAAAUAAAUGAAAUAAAUAAGUGUAAAUAUGUGGUACAAUUAUCCUCCUUACAAUAAACUCAAGCUCUAAAUUAAUAAAUUCCUUCUCAACCGGAGCAUUGUUAUAAUUCGAAUCAGGGAAAAACUCAUAGAUACUCUAGCUUCUUGCCAAAUACGCACGAUUCCAUGAGGAUAUUUUUAUAGAAAUGCCGAGGCGUAGGACCCGAUCCAACAUAAAUAUUAAACUGUGCACUACCGAGGGUCGAACGAUACGAACCAUAUAUGCAUCUAUUAACCUGCCGAGGCGAACAAACCGCUCCCAUGAGAGUGUGGUACAUAAAUCCUGCCAAGGCGAACAACCCGAUCCCAUUAGAAUAAGAAGCUUUAACGGGUCCUUGACCCCACUCACGAAUAAAUGUGUGAGUUAUAAUUUCUGUAACGAAAAACUUUUCAAUGAAACAUAGAUAUAUAUAUCGCGGACACAAUUUCAUAAGAGGAGUACAAUUGUUUCGUGACUAAUCAUGACACUCGUGAAGUCUCUACAAUAACGAGUCUAUCACUCUACGCAUGUCCAGUCUCAAGGCAUAAUGCGAAAUAAAAGAAUUAAACGAGCAAAGAUAAUCUCUAUAGUGCAAGUACAACAUGGUGUGAACCUAAGUCUAUCCGGACAAUAGCAUGAAUCUAGCUAUAUACGGACUCUCGUCACCUCAUACGUACGUAGCCCCCGUAACAAGUAGCAAUUAUCAAUUACAACUCCUAGGGGUAGUUUCCCCCUCAUAGAGUUAGACAGGAGACUUACCUCGCUCCGAAUUUUCAUAACCGGCUCUAAAGCCCUCUAACACCUCAAACCGAUGCUCGUCGCUCCAAAACUAGUCAAACAAUGUGCAAACCAAUAAAAAUAUAUUCUAAUACUCAUAACAAAUCAAUUUAGACAAAUUCCCAACUCCGCUCGAAAAGUCGAUAAAGCAACCCUCAGGCCCACGUGCCCGGAUUUUGAAAAUUUUCGAAGAUAAACAUUACCCAUAACAUUACGAACUCAAAUAUAUGAUUUAUUCUCAAUUCCAUGCCCAAAUUCAUGGGCGACAUCCAAAAAUACCAAUUUCUAGGUUUUCUACCAAAACCUCAAAUUUCUACAAAUUUUCAUGUCUAAAUCCAUAUUUAAUCCAAGUAUUUAACUUGCAAUAGGUGGGAAUCACUUACCUUAACAUAGACGAAGGAGAUGGAGCUCAAAAAUCGCUCCAAGACCAGCUCCCAUGGCGGAAAUGAAGUGAAAAUGGCCAAAAUCCCAUUUUAAAACAACUCACUGCCCAAUCCAACCCUUCUUCGCGAACGCGGCACAGCCCUCGCAUUCACGAAGCUCAACGACCUCACGCACAGAAAUUACUCUUCGCAUUCGCGACACUCUUAUCGCGUUUGCAAAGGCCAGCUGCCCUGCCCCUUCGCGUUCGUGUUCCCAUCUUCGCGUUCGCGUAGGCCAAACAACCUUAUGCCCAACUCCCUUCCCUUCUUCGUCGCGUUCGCGUUGCCUUGUCCGCGUUCGCGAAAGCUAAAUCUUAGCAGCCUCAAAGUCCUUCUUCGCGAACGCGGGACUGCCUUCGCGUUUGCGAAGGAGGAAACCAGACAUCAGCACAACAAUUCCAAAACAUCUCGAAAUGAUCUGAAACCAUCCCGAAACACACCCAAGGCCCCCGAGACCCCGUCCAAUCACAUAAUCCAGUCCCAUAACAUAACACGGACCUGCUUGAGGCCUCAAAUCAAAUCAAACAACAUCAAAAUCAUGAAUCGCACCCUAAUUCAAGCUUCAUAAACUUUAGGACUUCAAAUCUUUACAUUCGAUGCCGAAACCUAUCAAAUCACGUCCGAUUGACCUCAAAUUUUGCACACAAGUCACAUUCGACAUUACGGACCUACUCUAACUUCCAGAAUCGGAAUCCGACCCCGAUAUCAAAAAGUCCACUCCCUGUCAAACUUCUGAAAAACCUUCAAACAUCUAACUUUCGCCAAAUGAUCCCGAAAUGACCUACGGACCUCCGAAUCGACUUUCGGACGCGCUCCCAAUACCAGAAUCUCAUACAGAGCUAUUCCCAGACUCGGAAUCCCAAACAGACAUUGAUAACAUUGAAAUACACCUCAACCCAAAUUUAUGAAAUUCUUCCAAAAUGCCAAUUUCUAUAGUAGGCGCCGAAACACUCCCGGGUCAUCCAAAACCGGAUCCGGGCAUACGCCCAAGUCCAAAAUUCAUCAUACGAACCUGUUGGAUCCUUUGAAUCUCGAUUCCGAGGUCGUUUACUCAAAAAUCACACUUUAGUCAAUUCUUCUAACUUAAAGCUUCCAAAAUGAGAACUUUUCUUUCUAAAUCAACUCCAAACUUCCUGUAAUUCAAUUCCGACCAUGCGUACAAGUCAUAAUACCUGAAGUGAAGCUGCUCAUGGCCUCAAACCGCCGAACGACGAGUUAGAGAUCAAAACGACCGGUCGGGUCGUUACAUUCUCUCCCACUUAAACAUACGUUCGUUCUCGAACGUGCUAAGAACUGCUCUAGAGUUGUUCGAAAUCAUUGUUUAACACCUCAUGCACCUACCCGUGCUAACACAACUCAGUUGAGCACAUUAUCUCGAGCCAAUAUGAAGAUCCUCCCCUUUAUUUAGGCAAAUAAGCCUUAGGGCCAAAUUCCAACAUCCGAAAUUCUCUACCAGGCCUGCUUCCAACAUACGAACACCGUAUCAACCACUACACGAUGUACCAAUACAUGAUUUUAUACUCUUAUUGAAUUCACACCAUGCCCCGCAUAAUUCACAUGACCAUGAUAACAUCCUCUGAUAACAACGGCCGUAAUCCCACGAAUCUAAUGCCCACAACACACUUCACGACGCAUAUAAGUCUUGUUUUAACUUUCGCAAUACUGCCACGACAGAAGUGAUGUGUAGAAACUCAUAACCACAUGCCAAAACAUAAUUCAUGGAGUCUCUCCUCCCGACGAGAACCAUCACCUCAUUUUGGACUGAAUAUCGGUAUUUACUCUUUAAGAUGCCUCAUAUAAACCUGAUUGUACUGAUCCCAGGUCCAAUAACCUCGUCUCACCCAGUAUAAGUUGCUCAAGCAAUAAGCCACCUCAGACACUACCAAAAGUCUUAUAUGAUGCCACCAUGUGCCAACAAGCCACAACUCGAAUGUGAUAUAUAAGGAAAACGAACUCUGGAAAGAACUACUCAACCUACGCAACUAAUUUAAACAACCGAAAAGGAUGUUAUGAACCUUCCUCAGAAAGUAAGAAACAUAGCACACAAGAAUAGAUAUGGGGAACUGUACUCAACAUAACACUGUUCCGGCGUGCAACCCGAUCCACACAUGAUACCGUUGCGGCGUGCGACCCGAUCCAACCAUGAUACUCAUGGCGGCGUGCCACCCGAUCCAAACAACAUACUCGUGGCGGCGUGCCACCCAAUCCACACAUAACAAUCUAUAAGGAAAUACUUACUGAGCUAGAAUGCUCAUAACUACGAUAUACCCGAAUAUAGACCAUAAGCACGCCAAGUGCACAAUACCAUCCUUGGGGAGAUAGAUAGCGCCAUACGCUACAAAACUCAAGCAUAGCUAAGGUGCGAUGAAUGACCUGCAUCUCGAGAGCCAUCCUGCUCAUAUAACACUGCAAGCUACACAGGAUCACAACACAUGGGCGAAUAAUCAAACCGUCUCACAACCCACAUGGCACAAUAGAGUAUUAUAUGAAAUAGUUGACAACGAAAAUAACAUCCAACGCCCGAACGCUCCUCCAUAAGGAAUGCUAUGUUGAAUGAACACACCCAGGCUGGUGUAGAGUACACAUCCACAUCGGACCCGUCAACUGGCCUCAAACUGAUUCUGAUCAUACCAUGCUUGGGCAAAUAACCUCUCAAAGAUCCACAACGACCUCUUUCCCAUGACACACAAGAACAACUGUCGAAUCCGGAACAAACUCCCACAAUUCACAGCCAAUUGAAGAGAGGGCCCUUCAGGCCUAAACUCUCACAUUAGCGAUAGUACCAAAAUCUCCAUACUUGGUUUCAAUCUUUAAUAAAUCAAGUAACUAUAUGUCACACUUUUACAAUCUUCCCAUGGGAUACGCUCCCCCGACCUUCCGUACAAGGUAACAAGUCUGCACAUCCAUUCCACCGGCCAUACUAAUGCAUCUUACUCUAACCAACUGAAUCCUUUCUUGCUCGUCCGAGCUCGUGACAUUCUUGUCAACACCAAACUGCAACCUUGAUUCUCAACUUCCAAUUCCCAUGCCGCUCACUGUACUUAGCUCAUUUCAGAAGAACCAAUGCAACGCAACUGAAUUCGCAAACCGAGGGAGCACAAACCUCAUGUCACGAUCUAAAUCGCCAUGACUCUUCCGGAAUCCAUUUACGCAACCUAGUCCUUAGAACCAAAUACCUCCCAAAUCAAUCGAAUUAUGGUGGCUGCCAAGCCUCGCACGUACCGCCACAAAUCACAUAUAUAACUUAACACGCUGAGGGAACUAAUCAUGGCCACAAUCAUGUCGAUUCAACCAUUACUAGCCGACCCGUCUUUUUCCAAUACUGCACCGCAUACCUAUUGAUAACAUAGAACAUUCCAAGUCCUUAGACACUGUACUCAAGUUCUUGAACCCACCAGGACCAUUGUUGAGAGUCACCCACUCUGUCUUGGGCUCGAGUAUAAGCCAAACUCUAGUGCUCUGCCAGCACGUGAACACCCUAUCAAGGGGCACCCAAUUGAAUUCUUUUCCCUUGUACAUUACUCCCACCAGAAGUGGAAACUCUGAGUCUUCUCAAAACUGAACAUGAAUCGAUAAGGCCCAAGUAUAGCACACCUUACUCAAAUCCUUUGCUCACAUUACCACUGAUGUUUUCUUUCCUUAGUCGUAGUAACCCACCAAUGUACCGAUAACUAGAAACCUUACAAGUAGACAACCAUGCAAUCUAAUCGUAGACGGUGGGGCUUUCCCACUUAGCUUGAAGCUACAAUUUCAUAACCCUGGAACCUACCAAAAUUCCUUCUUCUUCAUUGAGAUGACCUCGCGCAAUCGACCCGCCAAAUUCCUUGAAAUCUUCCUGUUAACCAUUUCAUGAACACUCUGAAUCACUAGCCAUAUUUACAUAUUCGACCUCUUACCGGAUAGCCCAUAAAAUUCUUCAUUGAAGCUUAUCAGAACCACGCAACCAUUAACCUGCUCACCGGAGAUAUCCCACAUGUGGAAAUUCCAUGCUGACCUCUUUCAACAACGCUGUACCGAGUACAAUUACUACGAAACCAAUAAACCAUUCUGAGCCCGUGCCCCUCCACCAGUUGUGCAAGUCCGUUCACUCACCAUUGACAUCAACUACAGGUGCGACGAUACAUUCCAAUCCGAAGUCAUGUUGCAUCUCUCUUCAUAUCAAGUAACUCCUUCCUGUCAUAUCUAAUCUUCCUCAGUAUAGUAGCCAAUAUUCCAAAUUAGUCCGUAGACCUAGUCACUGUCCACGAUAAGUCCCAAAUCUCUCAAACAUUUCCCCAAGGCGUGUAGCUAUCCUACCACAGAACCCAUAUGAUACUCUGCCACUCUCCCACUUUGGUUAAACCCUCUCCUUUAAGCAACUACUUGACUUCUGCUUCUUAUACUUGGCAUCUUAGAAAUUUAACCACCGCAAGACACCUCCCACGUGUCCUUCCUCAUAAAUGCCCAGUUGUUGCCGUAAAUCAAAUCCAUCUCUGUAGCACUUGAACCAAUAGAUCGCUACCACUCUAAACUUCUCCGAAGGUCAUUCUUCUCGAGCCACCAACACUAGGAACACCGAUUCGAUUCUAAACCACAGCACACCGUGAUCUCUGACAGCCACUUCCCUGGCACCAUUCACAAUACUCUGCCCCAAAGGCAAAUUGAAGAAAACCAUAACACCGGCGAACUUAACACAUUCAUCAAGGUUAACGACACCAUAUCACAGAUAAAAAUUCCACCACGCUCGGAAAUACCAAGUCUCGUUACUCCAUCAACCCAAACAUGAACACUCAUAGUCUGAUUGCCUUUCCUCCGCCGGAAAUAAAACACUAAACCACUGAAUCAUGCACUAAUAAAAACCCCCUUUCAAGUUGUUCGCUGCCCCAACAUAUAGGCAAGCAACCUACCAUUACAUCAAUACUGUGCGAUAAUAACUCAUGAACAUCAUAGCAACAUGUGCAUACCCUCAAAAUUAUCUGAAAUAUAGCUACAGAGCCAAUAUGAUAGAACACCCUUCCGCAAGAAGACAAUAAUAAUUUGCUCGAAUGCGUAGGGAGAAACACCCUGCCCCACAUUUGUAGUACCAUUAAAAUUCUUCGAUUCCCGAUUGAUAACAAGCACUGCAUGUCGCAUAAGAUUGAGUAGGAAGUAAAUAAAGACAUAAGCCUCAAAGGAAACAAAUCGCACGAUGAGGAAUCAAGAAGGGAAGUGCUCCUAACAACCCUGUAGCCUCUCGAAGAUAAGUACAGAUGUCUCUAUACCGAUUCGCAAGACUCUACUAGACUCGCUCAUGACUCGUGAAACCUAAGUGAACCUAGUGCUUUGACACCAUAUUGUCACGACCCAAAAUCCAUUAAUGGUCGUGAUGGCGCCUAACACCGCUGUCAGGCAAGCCAACAAUAGUUGAUUAACUUGAUUAUUCAUUUUAAUAUUUUGAAAUCAAAAUUUUUCUUUAAUUAAAUAAUCAGAAAUAAAAUUUACAGAAUAAAUGAUAAUAUUUUUCCAACUACAAUACUGAACAACUCAUAAGUAUCCCCAAAACUCGGUGUCACAAGUGCAUGAGCAUCAACUAGGAAGUAAAAUAAAAUACAUCAUCUGUCCGGAAUACAAAUUAGACAGGAAAAAUACAAAUAACCCUGGAGGAGACUCUGCUGGCUGCGGAUCAUAACCUGAAAUGCAGCUCGCGGCAAGUCUCGCAUCAUCCGUGCCUCUGUGCCCAAAGGACCACCGGACAGUAAAAGUACAUGCACAAAAAAUAUACAACAAGUGUAGUAUGAGUAUGUAAAUUCACGUGUACNNNNNNNNNNNNNNNNNNNNNNNNNGCAAGUACAUCAUGGUGUGGACCUUAGUCUACCCGGACAAUAGCAUAAAUCUAGCUACGUACGGACUCUCUUCACCUCGUACGUACGUAGUCCCCGUAACAAGUAGCAAUUAUCAAUUACAACUCCUAGGGGUAGUUUCCCCCUCAUAGAAUUAGACAGGAGACUUACCUCGCUCCGAAAUUCCAUAACCGGCUCUAAAGCCCUCUAACACCUCAAACCGAUGCCCGUCACUCCAAAACUAGUCAAACAAUGUGCAAACCUAUACAAAUAUACUCUAAUACUCAUAACAAAUCAAUUUAGACAAAUUCCCAACUCCGCUCGAAAAGCCGAUAAAGAAACCCUCGGGCCCACGUGUCCGAAUUCCAAUAAUUUUUGAAGAUAAACAUUACCCAUAACAUUACGAACUCAAAUAUAUGAUUUAUUCUCAAUUCCAUGCCCAAAUUCGUGGUCAAAAUCCAAAAAUACUAUUUUCUAGGUUUUCUACCAAAACCCCAAAUUUCUACAAAUUUUCAUGUCUAAAUCCAUAUUUAAUCCAAGUAUUUAACUUACAAUAGGUGGGAAUCACUUACCUUGACAUAUAUGAAGAAGAUGGAGCUCUAAAAUCGCUCCAAGACCGGCUCCCAUGGCGGAAAUGAAGUGAAAAUGGCCAAAAUCCCAUUUUAAAACAACUCACUGCCCAGUCCGACCUUUCUUCGCCAACGCGGCACAGCUCUCGCAUUCACGAAGCUCAACAACCUCACGCCCAGAAAUCACUCUUCGCGCUCACGACCCUCUUAUCGCGUUCGCAAAGGCCAGCUGCCCUGCCCCUUCGCGUUCGCAUUCCCAUCUUCGCGUUCGCGUACGCUAAACAGCCUUAGGCCCAGCUCCCUCAUUUUCUUCUUCGCGUUCGCGUUGCCUUGUCCGCGUUCGCGAAGGCUCAAUCUCAGCAGCCUCAAAGUCCUUCUUCGCGAACGCGGGACUCCCUUCGCAUUCGCGAAGGAGGAAACUAGACACCAGCACAGCAGUUCCAAAACAACCCGAAAUGAUCCGAAACCAUCCCAAAACACACCCAAGGCACUCAAGACCCCGUCCAAUCACACAAACCUGUCCCAUAUCAAAAAGUCCACUCCCGGUCAAACUUCUCAAAAAUCUUCAAACUUCUAACUUUCGCCAAAUGACCACAAAAUGACCUACGGACCUCCGAAUCCACAUCCGGACAUGCUCCCAAUAUCGGAAUCACCAUACGGAGCUAUUCCCAGACUCGAAAUCUCAAAUAGACAUUGAUAACAUUGAAAUACAACUCAACCCAAAUUUAUGAAAUUCUUCCAAAAUGCCAACUUCCACAAUAGGCACCGAAACGCUCCCGGGUCAUCCAAAACCUGAUUCGGGCAUAUGCCCAAGUCCAAAAAUUAUCAUACGAACCUGUUGGAACCUUCAAAUCCUUAUUCCGAGGUCGUUUACUCAAAAAUCACACUUUAGUCAAUUCUUCCAACUUAAAGCUUCCAAAAUGAGAACCUUUCUUUCCAAACCAUCUCCGAACUUCCCGAAAUUCAAUUUCGACCACAUGUACAAGUCAUAAUACUUGAAGUGAAGCUGCUCAUGGAAUCAAACCACCGAACGACGCCCUAGAGCUCAAAAUGAUUGGUCGGGUCAUUACAUCAAGCCCCUCUUAAAUGAUAAUUAUGGGGGCCAUUGAAGAAUGUGUAAUGGCAGGCGAUGAAUGCCAUAUUCUCUAUAACAGACUGUGUAUUUAAUACUACAGAAUAUUUUUCAUUGAAUGCUUUCGGGUGGCAGGCCUUCAUUUGUCUUCAUUAGCAAUAUUCCGUUCGGGGGCUUCUAGGUGCCAACAGAAACUGCUGCCCCGAUCUUGAUUUCCACCUGUAUCGCUUUCCAUCUAUCUCCGGUUCCAUGUGUUGCUCUAUUAUAUGAUUAUUUAAUAUGAACUAAUUUUUCUGCAUACAGACAGCCCCUACCUUUCCUGGCCGGAAAUUUUCUCAUCCUCUCUGGAAAGUUUCUCAUGCUUAAUUAGACCCACGUCUCUCCGCAUUUAAUGCCUAGAACACGCGUCACUCCAUGAUUCACCAAUACUUUCGGCGGUUCUCGAGGUAAUCAUGGACACAAUUUUAGCCGCCUAUUCCUUUACUUAUACGCCUCAUUCAUCUUCUUCUACACUUUAUAAAUUUUCGAACUCUCUCAAGUUUUCUUACUCAACUCUCUCUUGCUUUUAUAUUUCUUUAACCUUCUUCUUCAGAGAAAUUCUUACUUCCUUCUGCUAACCAUGGCCUCCUCUUUCAAGAACUCUAUCUUUUCAAAAAACAAGGAAAGCACUGAUGCUGCUGCUCUUCCUACAGUGAGCACCAUUAUCCCCAAACGGCUCAAUACAACUAAGGAUUUUAGGAGAAGUUUCCUUCUGCUAACUCCCGCACAUGGACUGUUGGUGUGUACCCUUCUUCCAUCCGUCCUUCUAGCAUUCCUACUGUGAAGGAAGACUAUGAUUGACAUGAUUUGAACGUCGUCGCUCCCGAUCUGGCUGAGCGAGUAACCUUCCCUAAGAAGGGUUUUACAUACGUUUACACGUAUUCCUUCACUUUGGGUCCAUUCUCAUUGAGCGAGGGACUUCACCCCAUAAUUUUGGAGUUUUGCUACCAGUAUGAAGUAUGCUUGGCACAAGUAAGCCUCUAUGUGUGGCGGAUGGUAGCCUGUCUACGGAGGCUAUGCCAGGAGACGGGGAAGACCUCUCAUUAUCCCGCAUGAUGAAUCUUUACUCCCCCAAAAUCUUUCGUGGGGGAGUGAUAAACUUCAGCAAACGUGGUCACCACACUUUGCUCACCAGCAUGGAUGAUGACAACGAUCGCAGAUGGAUGGAGCGAUUCAUUAUAGUUGCCACUAGGGACAUCAUCCCGGCCACGACUCCACCUUUCCCCGAGUCAUGGAAUCGUACACGUAAGUUCAAUGUCUGUCUUUUCCUUGAUCAAAAGCUGUUCCAUGCUGUUACUAAUAUUUUUCUUUUCACUAUUUUAGCAACUCGGUGGACACCUCCAAGGGUUGAAGGCUUUGACCAGUGGGUCCAGAAGAUCCUGGAUAUUACCACGUUUGAGACCCGUCGGUGGAAAGAAUUGGCCCUCAAAUACAGGUCGAAGGCCAAAAAGCAUGGUAAGUUGAUUCUCUAACUAAUCUUGUUUUUACCUUGCGUAUAAGAAAAUUGGAUAACUUCUGUUUUCACUGAAUUCAAGCCUUCCGUAGGGGUCUGUUACCGUCCUCGAGGAUGAUAUUUUGGCUGAUCCCACAGAUGCGACGAGGUUGCUGCAGGAGGCUUUCACUCGAAUGGGUGCCAUCGGACCUACUUUCGGUGCAGGUGCUUCCUUUCGGAGUCCCCGGCCGGAGAACAAGCAACAAAAAAGGUGAUGUUCCUCUAUGGCCGAGGGUAAAAAUAAAAAGGUGAAGAACUCCACACCCGAGCCAGCCACAACCACUGUGGUGAUCGAUGAUGAUGGGGGAUCCAGUGAUGAAGGAUCUUCCCUACAGGUAAGACGAUGACCUUCAUCAUCUUCAUCUCCAGCCAUGACUUCACCACCAGCAACUGAUACAUCAUCCCCAUCGGCCGCAGACACCCGAGAGGAUGAUUUCCCUCCUCCCCAGUCCCUAGAUCAUGGGAAUUUGGGGUAUAACUUUUCACCCCCUCCGCAGAUCCUCAAAAGAGGAGGAGUGUCUCCCUCUCUAUCUCUAUCGGGUGCCAUCUGCUAUCCCGGCCGAUGAAACUUGCCAAUUACCUAAAGCCUCUGGCUUCAGAGAAAGAUAAGAAUAAAAUCCACCCUCUAUUGGGGGAGUGUAUGAUAAACAACACCAUGCACAACGUGACAACGGUACAAUAUUUGCUCCUUUUAUUGUUUCUUCUAGUUUCGCUAUGACAUGAUUUUUGAUUUGAAUUUUUGCUUUACAGGCUAAAACGCGCCAUGCUAUUUCGGAAAAAAUGAUUUUCAAAACUAAAUGCAAGGCUCCCGCGGUGAUAUAAGGAAAGAUUGUGGAUUACUUUUGUGAUUUGAGACUACGAGGCGGUACCUCGGUAGUGACUCUUGUUGGUAUUUCUCUAUUACUUCACUUGUGUUUGGUUGUUUUGUUUCCUUGACUUAACAUUUCUUGUUUUCUUCCGUGAUGCAUUAUUUGCCUUGAUUCUAUAUAGUUAAUUUUGGCAUAUUCCUUACUUGUUUCAUUUCCAUUAUUAUCAUUAUUAUUAUUGCACCGUUAAAUUAUUCAUCAUGUUUCUUAUUUAUUCCAGUAGGGCCUUGACCUGACCUCGUCACUACCCUACAGAUGUUAGGCUUGAUACUUACUGGGUAUUGUUGUGGUGUACUCAUGCUACGCUUCUGCACAUCAUUUUGUGCAGAUCUUAGUACCUCCUACCAGUCCAGGCACUAGCGAGAGCUUAGCUUCAGAGACUUCAAGGUAUACCUGCCGGCGUCCGCAGGCCUCGGAGUCCCCCUCUACGUCGACUAUUCUAUUUUCUUAUCCUUUUAUAGAUAUUAUAUAUAGGGAUAUUCAGUACUACUAUAUAGAGCUUGUGACUUGUAUUCGCCGGGUUUUGGGGAGUUGUUAUGUUGAAUUGCGGAGUUUCCUUCAUAUUAUGUUGAGUUAUUUAGACUUUAAAAUUUAUUUCAGACAUUUAUGCAUGAAUGUUAGGCUUACCAAGUCUUAGGGACUAGGUGUUAUCACGACAUUCUACGGAGAGAAAUUGGGGUCGUGACAUAUCGGGAUUGACUUCGAUCCCCCUUUGUGACACCAGGAACCCUAAGAACUUACCGGAGCUGACUCCGAAUGAACACUUUUCGGGGUUAAGCUUCAUGUUGUGCUUCCUUAGAAUGUCAAAGGUUUCUUGUAUGUGUUUAAGAUGAUCACCUGCGUUCAAAGACUUAACCAACAUAUCAUCUAUGUAAACUUACAUGGUUUUCUCUAUUUGUUUUUCUAACAUUUAUUCACAAGCAUCUGAUAAGUGGCUCCGGCGUUCUUAAGCCUAAAGGCAUCACAUUAUAGCAAUAUGUGCCAAAGUUCAUUAUAAACGAAGUUUUGUCUUGAUCCUCCAGGUUCAGUUUGAUUUGGUUGUACCCGGAAUAGGCAUCGAGAAAACUCAUCAACUCGUGCACGACUGUCGCAUCAAUCAUUUGAUCAAUAUUUGGCAAUGUGAACAAGUUUUUUGGGCACGCCUUAUUCAGAUCCUUAUAAUCUAUACACAUGCGAAAUUUAUUAUUCUUUUUUGGAACUACAACUACAUUAGCUAGCCAGUCAGGAUACUUUACCUAUCAGAUUGAACCGAUAUGAAGCAAUUGAGUUACCUAUUCUUUGACAAAUUUGUUUAUCACCUCAGCGAUAGGGCGUUUGUUCUGCCUUACCGGAGGGAUGUUAUUAUCUAGGCUUAACUUGUGCACGACCACCUCUAGCGGAAUACCUGUUAUAUCUGUAUGCGACCACGCAAUAUCAACGUUAAAUUUAAGAAAUUUUAUAAAUCCUGGCCUGAGCUCGGGUUUUAAUCCUAUCCCCAAGUGGAACUUCCUCUCCAAGAAUUUCUCAAACAAUGCGACUUGCUCGAGUUCUUUCAUUAUGGAUUUGGUUGUGUCCGUUUCUUUUGGUACCUGGAAAUAUCUUGGUACCUGAUAGGAUUUCGAUGACUCCUCCCCCUUGUUGACUUCGUUCAGCUCCGGAGCAAGCAUCGAUUCCUUUAAUUGCUAUGCCGCAUGCUCCUUCUCUUUGCUACUGGUAACGGAGAUCGCGUUCAUCUCCCUUGCCGCCGGUUGAUCUCCUCUUAUUUGUUUAAUUCCCUCCAGAGUUGGGAAUUACAGAAGUUGAUGGUAUGUUGACGGCACAACCUUCAUCUCGUGUAGCCAUGGUCUUCCAAGAAUAAUAUUGUAGCCCAUAUCGAUGUCUACUACUUCAAAAGUGUUGUCUUCAUUACCCCUUCGACAUUCGUGGGCAGCAUAAUUUCUCCGCGGGUUGUCACACUUGUUAAAAUGAACCUAGCAAGGAGCUUUGUGGCCAUAAUGAUGCUUCCGGUCAGCUUGGCUUGUUCCAACACUCUACAUUGGAUAAUAUUGGCUGAACUCCCUGGGUCUACUAAGAGAAAUUACUAGGGCAUCGUUGUGCGAAAGUAGGAGUCCAUUUGCAUCCUCUUCCAUGAAGGUGAUAUCAUCUUCGGCGACUUCCCGGAGUCUCUUGCUAUGGGUAACUGAUACCUUUGUCUUUUUCGCUACCGAAAAGGUUACACCAUUAAUCUCACCCCUCCCCGAAAAUCAUGUUGAUAAUUAGACGGGGAGGAUUUUCUCCUGCUUUUGAGGGUUCCGCGUUAUCCCGGUUGUGGCCGUAGUUGUUCUUAGCUCGGUCGCUUAAGAAUUCUCUGAGAUGGCCAUUUUUCAGCAAUGUCGCCACCUCCUCGCGCAGAUGUCGACAGUCCCCAGUUCGGUGGCCGUUGGUCCCAUGGUACUCGCACCAUAGAUUAGGAUCCCCCUGACUUGGGCUGGAUCUCAUCACCUUGGGAACCGUGCUUCCUUAAUGUUCCUCAUCACCGAUAUCAGUUCCACUACACUGACAUUGAAGUUAUAUUUGGACAAUCUGGGUAGGUGGAAUCCCUGGAGCCCGAUACCUCUUUGUCUUGUGAUGAUCAGUUAUUCCGGCCACGAUCUUCUCUCCUAUCGGUAGUAAAUCUAUCCGCCGACCGAAAACCUCUUCCGCAUCCUUCGGCCCUUUUAUAGGGCAAAAACUGACUUCUAGAAGACCGUCGAUCUGCGUUAAAAUCAUCCGUCAUCUUUUUCUUAUUCUUUUCUCGGUUCCGACCCUUGGUUGAUGCCGGGAAACCGAGCUGGUUAUCCUCGAUUCUUAUCUUCGACUUGUAGCGGUUGUGGACAUCUGCCCAUGUUGUUGCUUGGAACUCGAGAAAACUUUCUUUCAGUUUCUGGGAAGCAUCCGAACUCCUCAGAUUCAGCCCUUUGGUAAAUGCUUCAGGUUUCCAUUCGUUCGGCACGGUAGCAACAUCCUUUCCCUCUGAAAUCUGGUCACGAACUUCCGCAGCAAUUCGGACCCUCCUUGCGCAAUUUUGAAUAUGUCGGCCUUUCGGACCUGUACCUUCCUGGCCCCGACAUGGGCCUUGAUAAAAGUAUACGUGAGGAUAUCGAAGGAAUCAAUUGAGUCUUCGGGCAAAAGUGAAUACCAUGCCAGGGCCCCUUUCGUGAGGGUCUCCUCGAACUUCUUCAACAAGAAUGAUUCAAUCUCAUGCGGAUCUAAGUCGUUUCCUUUCACCACCAAUGUAUAGGUGGUGAUGUUCUCCUGUGGAUCCGAAGUCCCAUUAUAUUUUGGCACGUAUGGAAUUUUGAACCGCUUCGGGAUCAACUUCGGUGCCACUCUUGGUUUGAACGGCAACUAGGUGUAUUUCUUUGAGUCUAAUCUUUUAGACACUGACGGUGCGCCCGAGAUUUGAUCCAUUCAGGCAUUUAUUUCCCUCAAAAACUGCAUGCCUUCAGUUUUAAAGGGAUCAUUCUCAUUAUUGUUACUGGAUCCGCUGCCAUUCCCCCCGGCCCUGUUGAAGUCUACUUCACCACUCGAGGUGUUGUUAUCAACCCUUUGUGCUGUUUGGUUUGCGGGAGCACCAGGAGGAACUGUACCUCUUCCAUUCGCAUUGCUGGAAGCAACCAACAAUGCCUCCAUCAACUCCGUCAUGACCUGAUCCUAUCGCGAGAGAUGACCCAUAAUAGCCUUUUGUUAUUCCCUCAGGAUUCUCACUGUUUCCACACCAUGCUCGUCUUCAUCGUCAUUAAGAGUUACCUCCCGAACGUGUCGUGAAUAUUGCCCACCAUGGACCGGCAUGGCCUCAUCCGCCUCAUUGUGGGUAUCGCUAAUCGAAUCUUCAUGUUGAGACAUAUUUCCUUAGGCCUUAACGUUGUGCGUGAUGUUGACAUUAUUAUCUGCCAUUUUAUGAUUUUUUGCUAAGAAACAAUGAAUUAAACAGGUUAGUAAUAGAUGCAAGGAUCAACCCAAUUAUGCAACUAUCUAAGCCCCACAGUGGGUGCCAAACUGUUUACCCGUAAAACGAUACUAUUGAACUUGUAACGUGGUUUAUAGACAAGCGAAUCGAUUUGAUCCCAAAAUAAUAAAUAAAUUAAAUAAAAUUCAAGACUUAGCAUUGAAAUCGAGACAAGACAGCAAAUAGCCUGGUUUCGAGAGCACCUAGGGAACAAGGUCCUAGUAUCAAGCCCCUCUUAAAUGACAAUUAUGGGGGCCAUUGAAGAACGUGUAACAGCAUGCCAUGAAUGCCAUAUUCUCUGUAGCGGACUGUGUAUUAAAUACUGUAGAAUAUUCUUCAUUGAAUGCUAUCGGUUGGUAGGAAUUCAUUUGUCUUCAUUAGCAAUAUUCCCUUCGGGGGCUUCCCGAUGCGGACCGAAACUGCUGCCCCCGGUCUUGAUUUCCACCUGUCUCGCUUUCCAUCUAUCUACGGUUCCACGUGUCACUCUAUUAUACGAGUAUUUAAUAUGAACUAAUUUUACCCUAUACAAUAAUUCCUAUAGCCUCGAGUGGUACCACAUGUAUACCUAAGUUUGACAAGAUUUGUUUGUCUUGCUUCAAUCAAAGGUUUUCAAUUCUGCUUAUCCUCAUGUUUCGAGUGCCUCACUACAAAUAAAGUCCUAAGUUUCACACAUAUUUGAAGUAUUCUUGUAUUUUGGCUUUUGGACAUUUUUGCAAAGCAUACUGACACUCAGAAAGAUGUUCAAUGCAUGCAAUUGAGAUACCAUAUGCUUGAACUUUAUGCGAGUAUCCACUAAUGUGAGAACACUUGGAAUAAGAUCAUGUAGGGCUUUACUAUCAGCUUGUAAUGUAGGCUUGGAUUAAGGUAGGAUUUUCAUUUGGGAUAAAGUGACUAAUCCCUCCUUGAGCACUGCACUGUGUCCGUGCCUUCGGUGUUCAAACCAUGCUUCGGCGCUUGAUCUUGUUAGAUCGAUGUCCCUUUCUUUGCUUUGAUUUCUUUUGUACUUGUAGGAGAUUCUUCUUCCUUUUUCAGAGGUUUUUUCUUUCUUUUUUUUCCUUUUAUCCUUUUGAAUUUUCUCCUACUUUGCAGAAGUUUUUCCUUCUUUUGUUGGAGUUCCUCCUCUUUAAUUUGUGGAGUUUUCUCCUUUUCAUUGGAUUUUUUUUUUGAAUUUGCGAAAGUUUUCUCCUCCCUGUUGAAUCCUCCUUUUGAAUUUGCGGAGUUUCUUCUUUCUUUUCCUGAAGUCAUGUCUUUGAUUGUCUUGGACUUUGCAUCUUUCGCCUUCUCAUGCUUGUCGCCUUCACUUUAGUCUUAGUCCGAAGUUACACGUUUCCAGUGCACUCGAGGAGGUCGAGCCAAGAGAGGGGUAGUGCAUUUAGCACAAGAAAGGGUAUAGGCUAAGACGUGGUUGUCCAAGAGAAGGCUUAAAGCUCAAAAGGGGUAUGCUAGGGAUUUAUGUCAUUUGGUGGGCUUGAAAGGCUCAAACGGGACAAAGAACGCCUACGAUCCUUUCCCAAAUCAAGUGUUACUCAAGAUUUUGCCUCAACAGACAUUCAAGCCAAGUUCUAGAUCUACAAUGCAAUGCAAUGAAUUUUAAUCUAGGCUCACCUCACAAUGCACAUGAAACGAUGAGGUCAGAUUUGUUCCUACCCUAACUGUUAGCAUGAGAUUUUUCAAGUGUCACUAGGGUAUAAUUGAGAGGUACCACAAGGGUCUAUGGUUUACUUGAAGCUGUUCCUCACUAUCAUACUAUUAAAACAUUUGUUCUUUCCCAUACACACUCCUAACUAUGCUAGUACCAACCAAGCCAAUAUUUGAUAAUUUUUGUUUGUUUCUUUUUUUNNNNNNNNNNNNNNNNNNNNNNNNNNNNNNNNNNNNNNNNNNNNNNNNNNNNNNNNNNNNNNNNNNNNNNNNNNNNNNNNNNNNNNNNNNNNNNNNNNNNNNNNNNNNNNNNNNNNNNNNNNNNNNNNNNNNNNNNNNNNNNNNNNNNNNNNNNNNNNNNNNNNNNNNNNNNNNNNNNNNNNNNNNNNNNNNNNNNNNNNNNNNNNNNNNNNNNNNNNNNNNNNNNNNNNNNNNNNNNNNNNNNNNNNNNNNNNNNNNNNNNNNNNNNNNNNNNNNNNNNNNNNNNNNNNNNNNNNNNNNNNNNNNNNNNNNNNNNNNNNNNNNNNNNNNNNNNNNNNNNNNNNNNNNNNNNNNNNNNNNNNNNNNNNNNNNNNNNNNNNNNNNNNNNNNNNNNNNNNNNNNNNNNNNNNNNNNNNNNNNNNNNNNNNNNNNNNNNNNNNNNNNNNNNNNNNNNNNNNNNNNNNNNNNNNNNNNNNNNNNNNNNNNNNNNNNNNNNNNNNNNNNNNNNNNNNNNNNNNNNNNNNNNNNNNNNNNNNNNNNNNNNNNNNNNNNNNNNNNNNNNNNNNNNNNNNNNNNNNNNNNNNNNNNNNNNNNNNNNNNNNNNNNNNNNNNNNNNNNNNNNNNNNNNNNNNNNNNNNNNNNNNNNNNNNNNNNNNNNNNNNNNNNNNNNNNNNNNNNNNNNNNNNNNNNNNNNNNNNNNNNNNNNNNNNNNNNNNNNNNNNNNNNNNNNNNNNNNNNNNNNNNNNNNNNNNNNNNNNNNNNNNNNNNNNNNNNNNNNNNNNNNNNNNNNNNNNNNNNNNNNNNNNNNNNNNNNNNNNNNNNNNNNNNNNNNNNNNNNNNNNNNNNNNNNNNNNNNNNNNNNNNNNNNNNNNNNNNNNNNNNNNNNNNNNNNNNNNNNNNNNNNNNNNNNNNNNNNNNNNNNNNNNNNNNNNNNNNNNNNNNNNNNNNNNNNNNNNNNNNNNNNNNNNNNNNNNNNNNNNNNUAUAUAUUUGAAUUUUUGGACUUAAUCAUCAUCUUUUUUUUUGGUUUUUAAAAAAUGAGACCGAACCCGAAGGUUGCCUACGUAUCUCAUUGAAAUGAGAAACAGGUCAAGCAUAGUUCAGGAAGGGUGGAAAGAAAAUAUUUUUAGAUUUUCAUUUCAUUUUAAUUUUUUGAAAUUUUGAAUUAAUUAAUUUUUGUGAUUUUUGUUAGAGAGAACUGAAUGUAAAACAGGCUUUGUAGUUACCGUUCCGAUGCGAUAUCGGAGCAUUAAAAGUUAGACGGGCUUUGUAGUUACCGUUCUGAAGCGAUAUAGGAGCAUUGAAGGUUAGACGGGCUUUGUAGUUACCGUUCUGAAGUGAUAUCGGACCAUUGGCAGGAAAGUAAAGAUUGAUACAGUCUCCAUGCGAUGGGAGGAUUCUGUCACGACCAAACCGAAAGGCCGCGACGGGCACCCGGUGCCUAACUCAACCGAUACCAACGUAACAUAUCCUUCUUAUCAUACUAUCAUGGGUAAAUGAGCCGGAAAGGUCGUCAUGAGAUAACCAGAACUAAGCAUAAGAGAAUACUCGACAUAGGACGACCCAAGAUGGUAUACAAACUUAUACAUGUGACAUAUAUGCCUAUAAGACCGAAAUGAUCAUUUGUACACUCAAAACAUAGGCCGAUAAGGCCAUACAAUCAUCCAUAUACAUGACAUACAUCUACAAGCCUCUAAGAGUACAUAAACAUCAUAAAGGCUAGGACAGGGCCCUGCCAUACCAAUCAAUACAUGUCCAAAGUAUACUGGCCAAAUAAGCAACUCCGGAGCAAGUGGAGUGCACCAACACCUUCCGCUGAGCUAAUAGCCUACUAGGAGGACAGCCAACCUAUCUAUCGGGACCUGUAGGUAUGAAACGCAGUGUCCCCAGGCUAAAGGGAUGUCAGUACGAAUAAAGUACCUAGUAUGUAAGGCAGGAAAGCAUACAUAAGAACAGUAAUGUAAAGAGAGAUAGAGAAGAUACAACUUGUAACAUAUGAAUGCUUCUGGGGGCAACUGACAUGAAAUGCAUGAUACAUAUACUUUUUAAAACAUAUAUUUCUGUGGGCAUCGUCAUCAUCAUAUCAUACCCAGCCUCGAAGAGGACUCGGUAAAAACGUACCCGGCCAUCAUAAGGCUUGGUAGAAUCGUAUCCAGCCAUGUAGAGCUCGGUAAACCCAAUUGAUCAGUGGUUAUACAAUAGGUGCCGUACCCGGCCGACUAUAGCGCGGCUUGGUAGAGUACAAUAGAUACAUAUAUGUAAUGCAUGCUGGACUCAUGAAAUCACGGUCUAAACCUUUCGGAGUGACGUAAGGUUGUCGCACAUUCGAUUAAGAUUAUGGACAUCGAUACCAUCAAUAUGAACCGCAAUAGGAUUCAAGGAUCAUACAUACUUGCUUAGAAUAACUUUAUAAGGAAAGAACAACAUGGAUAGCCUUAGUUUCUAGGAGUAGAUCUGUUAUGAAAUAGUGUAUCGUUUGCGUUCAUUUCACUUAGAUCAGGCCAAAAGAAAGAAGGAAGUGACUUAACAUACCUUAUCACAAUCUGUCCUAUAACCAUGUUGAACUCCUCACAUCACACUUCAAUCCUGUUUUCCUUGCUUUCCCAAGUCCAUCAACCAACACGAACCCAUACAACCUUCACCUAUAUACUUUCAGCACCACAACACAAAUCAAGCUACACAACAACAAGUGCAUAAACAUCACCAACGAAACUACUAUUUAAACCCACAAAUGGCAAGCUCGGAUUGAAUCCCUUUUGAACCCUUUAGCCCCAAAGUAAUUCAUUCAUUAACUUAACAACAUAGCCAGUAUGAUAUUAAGUACAAUGGGAUGACUUCUAACCUCCUAUUCAUCUCCUAAUUCACCCUCAAACAACCCAACAAUCUAACAACAACACCAAGUACAACUUUCGAUUGUUAUGUUGUCCUUUCCCUUCAUAUUCACAGUACCAAUAGCAAGUUCGACAUGUAGACAAUAUUUUAUAAUAACAUCAUAAGAAAGUCAUUUCAAAGGUUUCCAACCAUUUAAAGUUCAUGGAAACAACCUUUCCAAAACAGUCCAUUAAAAAUAAUAACAUCUCAAACUAUUUCAAGUUUCCUCUUGUAGUAUUUUGCUCAAAUAAUGCAAUCAAUACACAAACAACUUCAAGAACAUGUAGUAGGAUGUUAUACUCACCUUAGCCAAUAGAAACAACACAAAAUUUCAGCCAAGCAUAGCCCACAACUAUUCCCAAUGACACCACAACACUAUAGGUGUUGUAUUCUCUUCUUGAAUCAACGUUUGGUGUUCAAGUUGGUGUGUAAACACUUGUAGUUCGCCUUGAAAAUCUAAUAUAUAUGAAGGAGGGACUGAUUAUUACCUUAAUCAACAAGAACAACAUGAAACCUGAGGUUACUUCAUUUUGAUGAACCCUCCUAAAUAGCCACAAGAUGAAGUACUAUGAUCUAGCAAGCACCACGGGAUUUCUAGCAUUGGAUUCAUGUUUUUAUCUUAGGUUUCCACCCUAGAAUUAUGGUGGAGAGAAUUUAGGAGUGUUUAGGAACUGUUUUGGACGAGAAAAAUGAGUUAAAACUAUUUAGAAUUGACUUAAAUACAAGCUGCUUGCACAGUCUCGCAAAAAUGCAUAUAUCUGUCUACUCUGAUAUCGUAUCGACAGACGGUUAAAUGCGUUAGAAACUAGUCUCGUAGAUCUUCAAUUUUUUAGGUAGAUAACCCCGUAAUUCCAAGUAUAUGUUUUAUAAAAUCUCACCGACAUUUGACCUAAUUUUCAGCACAUUUAUGAAUGUAACUUGUGAUGAACUUUGCCAACUUUUGUUCCACAACUCGCUUGACUUCAAAACAUAAUACACGACUAUCAUACGACUAAAAUAACUCAUAACAUAACCUCCUUAUAAUGUUAAGAACCCUAGUAUCACCCCAAAGGUACAUGUUAUAACAUUCCAACUUGUCGACUUUCAACCAAACUUAUUUUCUUCAAUUCGUUUAGCUUCUAAGCCUUCCAGCCCUCUUUGUAAUUGGUAUUCAUGAUAAUAAAUAUUGUAACCUCCACGGUAAUAUGAUUAACUUACUUUGUAAAAUUUUCAAAGAUAAUUUAAUUUUUGAGCUUACAUCAAUUGACUUACGACAUACUUUUACAUACGAAAACAUGGGGCAUAACAUCAUUCCCCCCUUUGGAACAUUCGUCCUCGAAUGUUGACUGAUGCACUUAUCAGUCUCAUAACCCAUAGCUCUUACAAAUAUUUUAAUACUGUCCUUGCCAUCUAGGCAACUGUUUUGUGAAUUAAUCCAAAGGCCAGGGCAUUCCACCCUUUAGGCCUCUUUCUCACACCAUGACUUGAUGUCAGAAUUCUUCCAAUCUCGUAACUGUUGCUACCUUCUAUCAUGCAGCAUGUAUGACUUUGUCCUUGUAUGUGCGCCUAUGCGACUCUUCUCUCCCUUUUCCUCCAUCUUUUAGCCAAUCUCUAGUCCCUACUUUGGGAACAUAUACAAAACGUUGACAAGCUGUCCCUCUGGGCAUCUAUAGGUGUACUGAAGUUCUUCGCUCGAUACAUGUCGAACUUAUGACUAUUGCUAUAUCUUGUUUCAUAGCCUCGGUUAUCUAUGCUUAUGGCUUUACUACAUCUAGUCAGCUUAUACUAUGCCAUAACACUUUGGUUUAUUAUUACCAAGGUAUGCUACCCAACUCUAAGUUACUCUCUCGCUGCUUAUCCUAUAUGUAUAAAUCUAAGUCCCUUAAUGCUUCCUCAUUACUGUUCAUCUUAAGAAUGACAGCCUAAUCUUAUCUCAUACUUUGAAACUUUCAUCCAUCUAUUGUUGAUUCACCUUAAUGUUGAUCUAUAAUCUACCACUGAUAACUUGAAACCUCUUAUGUAAUAUAUUGUCACUAGGGCUCACGUCUAAUCAGGGAACAUAUAGAGUUAUUUGCCUGAUUCACUUAGAGACAAUACUAUACAUCAUAACCGUAUUUCAUAGCAUCCCAACGUGAUUCACCUUAUGGGGGUAUUUUAAUCCUGUAUAAUUCAUGAAAUCCCUUUUCUUUGAAUCAACCCAAUCAAAGGCCUAAACGUCAUCCUCUUAUAUAUCGCAAUUAGACCCUUAUUCUACUACUAGGGAAACAUUCCAUCUCUUCUAUAUACUCAUAGUCUUAAACUCCUCCGAGUUCUUUCAGGCUAUACAAAGCUUUCUAUAACUUAGGGAAACCAUCAACUCUCUUGUUUUGAUGGGCUUAAUUCUGAGGCCUUACCUAUUCUUGUCACCUUCUCCCUCCUUUUUUCUUAUCCUUACUCCUAUCUACCUAAAACCUUGUCACUCUACCAUAAUUUAGCUUACGACCUACACAUAUCUAUUUAUACUAAUCACAAUCUUCCUUUAACUUGCUAGCACUAUAGAUUUCCUUUCGUGCCUUCUCAGUUGUUUUGAAAUGUAAGCAAUUACUCUUCCUGGUCAUUCUGCCACUUGUUGCAUGAAUACUUGGCUUAUCUUAGUGCUGACACAUAUUGGAAUUCCAAACAACCCAUAUGAUAUCGAAUAUACUUUUGAUUUUUACUUCCCGUUCAUUAGUCACGAUAGGUGCCACUUUCUUAUAAAUACAAUGUUGUAGUGAGACUGCUGUGACAAGGCCAUUUCUUCUUCAGGUCACUAUGCUUAGGUCGAAGCCUUCUUCUUUAUUUCCCCAGCUAGUCUUUCGUUGUAGUACUUAGGAGAGACCCUCUGACUCCUGUAAAGCUAUGAGCUUAUUACAUCGUAUUCCCGAAGGAAUUUUUGAUGUUCUUACUCGCCUAUAAUUAUCCUUAGUUACUUACAUCCGUGCCCUAGUGCUCGUAAGGUAGCUUCUGAACUGAAAUUUUGACUAUCUCCCCAAUGUUUACUUUUUUUUCCGUAACACUUAUACGGUACCUUUAACUACCCCAACUCCUAUCUGAAUAUUUCUCAAGGAUCACGAUGUCAUCAUAUCUACGAGAUUGAAUUCCCUAUGUCGGGUUUCACUAUGUUUAUCUUGCAUGAUCUGUUGAUUUAACUGUAUCUUCUUUUCUAGCCAUAACUAGACUCUUCCUGAAUCAACUACUAACUACUCGUUGGUCCAUUCUCAUAUCUAUAUUUCGUGUAAUCUCUUUUGGGUUAUUUCCUUUGUCUUAACUUACCUCUCAUACUGGCUCCUUACAUAUCAAGUGUUCAUUCGCACUUAUUUAUCAAUAACAUCUGGUGCGGGAACCCUUACUGCCUCUCUCCCGCGUGCUUGCAUAAUGUUCUGGAGUCGUAACAUAUCUGUAGGGUCUGAAUAAAUACAAUCUCAUUCCUUUAUCCUUUUUACCGAAUUCUUCCUUUUCUAUUCCAUAGUUACCUCAUCAUCUUUGGCGUCUUUUCACAUCUUCACUGAUAUCUUACUCGCAUUGCGGUAACCCUUAUGUACCAAGGAUUACUGAAUAUCUUAUGCACGGCAAUGAUGCCUAGUGUAACUAGCACACUUAGUCCCUUAAACUUAACUCUACUCACAGUGCUUGCUUUAGGGAAGCAUUUUCCUAAAUGACCUUUAAAGGUUAUUCUUCUGUUGUCCAUUCUAUUAUUGUCGGAACACAAUCUCUAAAAUUCUCACGAUGUCGACUAUUAUCAAAUCCUCUGGUCCUUAAUUCAUGUUGGGUUUUAUCUUGUUUACUAGACCAUACUAAUUUCUGUUACUACGGGGGGGUCUAACUUAGCCUUCCGGUAAUCACGUUGGAGUCACCAAUUUAUUUCUCAAAAUGAGGAUAUGACCUUUGGACUAUACUGUUUUAUUGUCUCAAGGCCUAUCACCUCUUAGCUUUUCCUUCACUUGACUAUAGACUCUGUCAUCGUGUCAUAUUUUGAUUAUCACCCAUUUAUCACAUCUUACUCAUAAUGCUUCAUUUACUCUCUUUGUAUUCUCCUGCUAAUAUUUUUAUCUAUCACCUUAUUUUGAAAACUUCAACAAAAUAUUCUUUCGCUUUUAGCUCUCCUUGCUCCAUCCACUGGCUCUUCGGGUCACCUAGCAUUCUCUCUUUACUAGGGACGGGAGCCAUAAAAGGUAAAUAUUUAUCCCUUCUAGGAUUCUAGUGCCAGUCUUCUAAAUUUUUUUGGACAUUCUAGUAUUCAUAUCUAAAUGUACUAUUCUAGAGUGCACCAUCGGGGUGUCUCACAAGGAGAACUAUUACCACGUUUGCAAUAUUCUUUGGAAAUGUUAGCUAAUGCUAACAAUCCAUCCAUAAUUUUGGGUUACUCUAACCCCAGCUGGAUCCUGAUAUCCUAUCCUUCUCUUAAACAAUAUCGGUUAGCUCCCAUAGGGCAUAACUAAGAUGGGUGUGGCCAAUUAUACAUACCUCUAUUACUGUUGAAGGUAACUCAGAAUGCUUAUAUUUCUCUGUCUGAAUUGUAAAUACUGAUAAUCUUUACUAACUGGGUACCUCGUACCCUUCUCCACCUUGCUUAUUUUACUUGUUGAAAUUUGUAUCUACCUUCUGAUUCUCCCGUUUCUUUUUACCAUAUGGGUAGAUAAAUAUUCAUGCCUUAGGGCUCCUUAUAAAGAAGCUUACACGUCUUAGCACACACAUGAUCUGCUGAAGACCUCACAUUUACUCAUCAUAAGAAUGAUGCAAAAUCGAGUUCCUCUGACUAAACUCUUCCACAGCCACAUUCAAUCUCUUACCAACUAUCUUUCUGGAUGUAGGUAUUGUUGUAUUACGAAUAUAAUAAAAUUUAGGAGUUUGAAUUCUUACAAUUGAGCUCUACCACACGAUCUAGAGUAAGAAGAAAGAGUGACACUCUUAAAUGCCCUGUAGCCUCCUACUUAUAAGUGUGGUACAGAACACACCCAUAAGUAAGAUUCUACUAGACACGACUUGUAGACUUCCUAAGACAACACUACUUUGAUACCACUUUUGUCACAACCAAAAUCGAAGGGCCGCGACGGGCACCCGGUGCCUAACUCAACUGAGUACCAACGUAACUUAUCCUUAUUAUCAUACUAUCAUGGGUAAAUGAGCCGAAAAGGCCGUCAUGAGAUAAUCAGAACUAAACAUAAGAGAAUACUCGACAUAGGAUGACCCAACAUGGUCUAUAAACUUAUACAUGUGACAUACGGGCCUAUAAGAUCGAAACGAUCAUUUGUACACUCAAAACAUAGGCCGACAAGGCCAUACAAUUAUCCAUAUACAUGACAUAAGUCUAAAAGCCUCUAAGAGUACAUAAACAUCAUAAAGGCCUGGACAGGGCCCCGCCAUACCAUUCAAUACAUGUCCAAAGCAUACUGACCAAAUAGGUAACUCCGGAGCAAGUGGAGUGCACCAACACCUUCCGCUGAGCUGAUAGCCUACUAGGAGGACUACUAACCUGUGUAUCGGGACCUGCAGGCAUGAAACACAGCACCCCCAGGCAACAGGGAUGUCAAUACAAAUAAAGUAUCAAGAACGUAAGGCAGGAAAGCAUAUAUAAGAACAAUAGUGUAAAGGGAGAUAGAGAAGAUACAACCUAUAACAUCCGAGUGCCUCUGAGAGCAAUUGACAUGAAAUGCAUGAUAUAUAUAUAUAUAUACAUACAUAUACUUUUAAAAACAUACACCUCUGUGGGCAUCAUCAUCAUCAUCAUAUCUUACCUGGACUCGAAGAGGACUCGGGAAAAAUGUACCCGGCCAUCAUAAGGCUCAGUAGAAUCUUAACCGGUCACGUAGAGCUCGGUAAACCUAACUAAUCAGUGGUUGCACAAUAGGUGCCGUACCCGACCGACUAUAGCGUGNNNNNNNNNNNNNNNNNNNNUCAUCGCACAUUCGAUUAACAUUAUGGACAUCCAUACAAUCAAUAUGAACCGCAAUAGGAUUAAAGGAUCAUACAUACUUGCUUAGAAUAACUUUAUAUGGAAAGAACAACAUGGAAAGCCUUAGUUGCUAGGAAUAGAUCCGUUAUGAAAUAGCAUAUCGUUUACGUUCAUUUUAUUUAGAUCAUGCCAAAAAAAAGAAGGAAGUGCCUUAACAUACCUUAUCACAAUCUGUCCUAUAACCAUGUUGAACUCCUCUCGUCGCACUUCAAUCCUGUAUUCCUUGCUUUCCUAAGUCCAUCAACCAACACGAACUCAUACAACCUUCACCUAUAUAAUUUCACCACCACAACAAAAAUCAAGCUACACAACAACAAGUGCAUAAACAUCACCAACGAAACUACUAUUUUACACAACAAACGACAAGCUCAGAUUGAAUCCCUUUUGAACCCUUUAACCCCAAAGUCAUUAAUUCAUUAACUUAACAACAUAUCCAGAAUGAUAUUAAGUACACUGGGAUGACUUCUAACCUCCUAUUCAUCUCCUAAUUCACCCUCAAACAACCCAACAAUCUAACCACAACACCAAGUACAACUUUCCAUUGUUAUGUUGUCUUUUCCCUUCAUAUUCACAGUACCAACAACAAGUUCGACAUGUAGACAAUAUUUUAUAAUAACAACAUCAUAAGAAAGUCAUUUUCAAAGGUUUCCAACCAUUUAAAGUUCAUGGAAACAACCUUUCCAAAACAGUCCAUUAAAAACAAUAACAUCUCAAACUAUUUCAAGUCUCCUCUUGUAGUAUUUUGCUCAAAUAAUACAACCAACACACAAACAACUUCAAGCACAUGUAGUAGGAUGUUAUACACACAUUAACCAGUAGAAUAAACACAAAAUUUCAGCCAAGCACAGCCCACAACUAUUCCCAAUGAUACCACAACACUAUAGGUGUUGUAUUCUCUUCUUGAAUCAACUUUUGGUGUUCAAGUUUGUGUGUAAACACUUGUAGUUCGCCUUGAAAAUCUAAUAUAUAUGAAGGAGGUACUGAUUACUACCUUAAUCAACAAGAACAAUAUGAAACCCGAGGUUACUUCACUUUGAUGAACCCUCCUAAAUAGCCACAAGAUGAAGUACUAUGAUCUAGCAAGCACCACGGGAUUUCUAGCAUUGGAUUCAUGUUUUUAUCUUAGGGUUUCACCCUAGAAUCAUGGAGGAACCCUUGGAGAGACUUUAGAAGGGUUUAGGAACUGUUUUGGAUGAGAAAAAUGAGUUAAAAUGAUUUAGAAUUGACAUAAAUACAACCUGGAGUUUUACACCGACUUUGUGGGUCCCAUAGGAGCUGCUUGCGCAGUAUCGCAAAAACACAUAUAUCUCUCUACUUCAAUAUCGUAUCGACGAACGGUUAAAUGAGUUAGAAACUAGACUCGUAGAUAUUCUAUUUGGUAGGUAGAUAACCCUGUAUUUCCAAGUAUAUUUGUAGAAAAGCUCAGUGACAUUUGACCUAAUGUUCAGCACAUUUAUGAAUGUAACUUGUGAUGACCUUUGCCAACCUUUUUUUUCACAACUCGCUUGACUUCAAAACAUAACACAAGACAAUCAUACGAAUAAAAUAACUCAUAAAAUAACCUCAAAAUAACACAUGUUUUGAAGUACAUGUAACAUUCCAACUUGUCGACUUUCGACGAAACUUAUUUUCUUCAAUUCGCUUAGAUUCUAAGCCUUCCAACCAUAUUGGAAAUUGGUAUUCAUGAUCUUAAAUAUUUGUAACCUCCAUGAUAACAUGAUCAACUUAUUUUGUAAACUUUUCAAAGAUUAUUUCAUUUCUGAGCUUGCAUCAAUUGACUUACGACGUACUCUUACGUACGAAAAGAUGGGGUGUAACAUAUUUGACGAGUUGUAGUACCAUUCUGAUUUGGGAGAUUCUUGAAGGGAUUUUCAAGGAGUUGGUUGGGGUAAGUGAUUAUAACUUGGAUUUGGUUAAUAUACAUGAAUCUAUCAUUAUUUUUACCAUUUAAUUAGUGUUUUGGGUUGAAAUAAUUGGGGAAAAUUGUAGAAACUUCAUAAACUAUAUUUUGAGGAUUUGAAAGGACAUUUGAGGUUGGAAUCAGAUGAUUUUGGUAUGGUUGGAAUCGUUAUUUAAUAGGUAUUCGGAUUUAAUAAAUUUUGUCUAAUUCCGAAAUGUGGGCCUCGGGUUGACUUUUUGACUUUGGUUAAAGAACUUAGCUUUAUCAUAGGGAAUCAAUUUCUAUAGCUUGUAUUGAUUGUAUUAAGUUGUUUGUGGCUAGAUUUGAGUCGUUCAGAGGCCGAUUCGCGAGGCAAGGGCUUGGUGGUGUAGGGAUUUACGCAGUUUGAGGUAAGUAACACUUUUAAAGUUGGUUCUGAGGGUAUGAAUCCCUGAAAUACGUGUUAUGUGGUUGGUAUUGAGGUGACGCACAUGCUAGGUGACGGGCGUGUGGGGAUGCACCGUGGUCACUGUGACUCGGUUGUUUUCGUGGUACCGUGUAAUUAUCAAACCUUGUUGCUAUUCAUGUAAUUCCUACGUGUUCGAGUAAUUGAUCUGCAAUCCAUGUUAGAAAUCAUGUUUAGGUUAUAUGCUUAUUCAGUUGGGACCCAUUAAUGCCAUUUCUGCUGUUGAAUUAUUUGCUUAAAUUGCAAUUAUGUACUCAGUCAUAUCCAUUAGUUGCAUCUCAUAUCUCGGUCUCUGUUGUCAUUUAUUGUACAUCAUGUAUCAUUGCUUGGGCUGAUUGGCAUGAGAUUUGUGUGCCUGAGAGACUGGAGAGAUUGAUAACUGAGUUGGGGCCUGAGAGCCGUGUUGUGAGUGAGGCUAUGGAUUGGACUGCACGCCGCAACAUGCCUUCUUGGCUUUAUAUAUAUUAUUAUUAUGGAUUGGGCUGCACGCCGCAACAAGCCUUACAUAUCUAUUAUUAUGGGAUCGGGCUGCACGCCGCAGUAGGCCAUAUUGGCUUUAUAUUAGUGCUUGGGUAGGAUCCUCCCCUCCGGAGUCUGACAUACAAGCAGUGAGCACAUGUACUGUACAGUGCUGAGUGAUUGAGUGAGAGUUGUGACGGUCAGAUUGAGUACUCCGAGUGUGUGAGUACAUGAGUUUAUCACUGUGAUGCAUUACAUGUGACAUGCACAUUCGACAUAUAGAUAUAGAGAUGUAACAUUCCUCAUAUCAAUCAUACUUGGGAUAUUUUAUCAGUGUUGAGCUUAAACUAUUAAACUUGAAAGUAUGUCUAUAUUUCUGUACUAUGUACAAACUGAUUAUGAGAUUUCUAUGGGUUAUUACUGUCAUUUUCCUGUCAUACUUGUACUGUUAUUAUCUGAAUUUGGAAUGUACCUUUCUGAGCUCGUCACCGCUUUCAGCCCAAGGUUAAUCCUGUUACUUAUUGAGUACAUUGGGCCGGUUGUACUCAUACUACACUCUGCACUUCGUGUGCAGAUCCAGGUACAUCCAGACUUGGUGAUUGCUAGACUUGGAGCAUUACCUGCUUGGAGAAUUUUGAGGUAGCUGCUAUGGCGUCCGCAGACCUUGACUCUCCUCCUUUUCAGUUUAUUUAGCAUUGUUCUAUCUUUCCAGACAGUUGAAUUAGAAGUUUUGACUGUGUUCACAUUUAGUACCUUAUGUACUCACUCGGUGACACCCGGAUUUUGGGGAUUUUAUAUUUGAGUCGCAAUUAUUCUUAUCGGUUAUUAUGAGAUUUCUCACUGUUAAACUUAUUACAUCAUAUUUUCAAUUAAAAAUGCAUAGUUAUUUAUGGUUGUUGGCUUGCCUAGUACUGUGAUAGUUGCCAACAUAUUGAGAUUUGGGUCAUGACACCUCGUUAUUAUAGGGCCCAGCCCAGAGGGUCAUUCGGGGCGUCGUGGCCUCAAAACAUUAUUCUCAUCGGCCGUAGCGCAACAUUACAGAAAUCGACAACAACCAAGUGUAAUAUUUGUUCGAAAUUAUUUCAGAUAGCAGAGGCAACCAGCUGCGCAAUGUCAAAAUCUAGCCCUACACUCAAAGUAGGCAAACAAGUUAUUGAGCAGACUUGCCAUUAACCAAGGAAACAACAACGACAAACAAAGCACAACAGUCAAACAACCAUAGCAAAAUAUCACGACCACAGAAUAGUACGACCAAGAAAGCCAUGGUCACAUUCAUAUAUUUUCCAACCAAUUUUGACGUAACAGAGCAUGUGAGAGGCGAAGAGGACAGUGAAAAACAUAACAAAAUAAGAACAGAGGUCGCCGGAAUGGCAAAAACAGUGGAGAAGCGAGGAGUCGCCGGAACUCAACUUUUCCGGCCCAAAACUUUCCAGAUCGACGCUUGCCAUAGCAUCAGCAGUCAAUGGACCAAAGAUGCUACUAUGAUGGCAAGGGUCACUAGAGCAACAUCAAAAUAACACACGAGGGGUUGCCAGAAAAUUAGUAAUCAGGCCAAAGUUAGAGGCACCCAAAACCGGCCAGAUUGGGCCGCAUCUGUGAGCACGCAACAAAAAUAGAACAAAAGAGGACAGAGAAUGGUAGUAACAGAACAUUAAAGGAUUAGGUCGCUAGAAAAGUUCUUUCCGGCCAAAACCAAAUCGGUAACUACACCAUUGAAGCCAAUGACUCUAAUACCAUGACGAACACCGGAGCAAGUGUCUCCACAGGAACAAAGUGAAGAAGGUCAUCGUCAAAGUUAGAUAUUCUGGCAGAUCUGAUAGCAGCAGUGAGAAAAAGGGAGAGAGGAGAGGGGGAGAGAUAGAGGAUUGCCUAGCCGGUGAUCAAUUCCGGUCGGCGGGAUGGCAGCAGUGGUGGGGAAGAAGGCGAUGGACGGCUGGUGCUCUCAAGAGUUGAGAGAGCCCUUAGGGUCUGAUGACAGAUUUUGUGUAAAAAAUUAGAGACAGCCAAAAAAUGUAUUAGGGUUGGCCUUAUUAAAAAAUAUGAUGUCUCUUUCUUUUUGUAGUGUAAAAAUAUAUGUGGGGUGUGUGUAGAGUGUAUGGGGUAGAAACUUAGGGAUUAAGGUUUGAGAGUAGAACAAAAUAAGUGGGUCUUUACCCAUUGUAUAAAAAUCAUGUUGGGUCAAAUCAAGGGUCAC
rnacentral:lncRNA from 1 species